GCGGUUUUGGAUGGGCGUGCGCCUGAUUAGGUAGUUGGCGGGGUAACGGCCCACCAAGCCAGCGAUCAGUAACUGGUGUGAGAGCACGACCAGUCACACGGGCACUGAGACACGGGCCCG
rnacentral:rRNA from 1 species